GACAGAGGGUGCAAACGUUGUUCGGAAUUACUGGGCGUAAAGCGUGUGUAGGCGGCCAUAUAAGUCGGAUGUGAAAGCCCUAGGCUCAACCCAGGAAGAUGCACUCGGAUACUGUAUGGCUUGAGUACUGGAGAGGUUGGUGGAAUUCUCGGUGUAGAGGUGAAAUUCGUAGAUAUCGAGAGGAACACCGGUGGCGAAGGCGGCCAACUGGACAGAUACUGACGCUGAGACACGAAAGCGUGGGGAGCAAACAGG
rnacentral:rRNA from 1 species